GUUUUGUAGCCCCUGAUCUCCAUAUGGGAUUCUCUUGGAAUCUUGGAGCUGUUUGGCCUGUUGAGUCAGAGAGAAGAAAUACUCUGGAAUUUACUUGUCUGUUGAAGGAGCAAGUCUACAGGCAGUGAAAGAUAAAUUUUCUCUGAACUGAACACUUCUUCCUGGAAGACAAAGGAAAGCUCAUAAGGCUCAGGAACGUCAUGAAAUUUACAAGACCCAUAAAGCUCAGAAAGGCACAAGACUUUAAGGCUUCUCCUCAAUGUUUUAUACCGAGUAAUCAGCUGCUGGGGAAGAAAAGACUUUGCAGUGGCAAUUCCUGCUAUACAAACAAGGGAAUUCCAUGUCAUAUAUGCUGAGGUAGGGAUAUUUGGUGAUGUGGCUGUAUUAUAUAUAUAUAUAUAUAUAUAUAUAUAUAUAUAUAUAUUCACACGCACACAUAUAUACAUGUACUGUGAGGAGCAGGUGUGGCAAUAGUCCCAAGAUGGCGCCCGGGACUGCAGCCAAGUCUUAUGACUUGCACCUAGAACUUCCUCAUACACCCGAAAAUAAGCCAUGUCCAUCGUGAGAGCUGCGCAGGCACACCAUGACACAAGAUCAGGCCAUUUGACGAAGGCCAAUGAACUGAGAUUGCGCGGACUGGGCUGAUGGGGCGUGGCUGAGGGGUGAUAUAAGGGAUUGCGAUUGGGGACUAGGGGAGAUUCCUGCUUGCAUGUUGAAAGGUUCCUGAAUAAACUGCUUUGAGA
rnacentral:lncRNA from 7 species